GCCCUCUUUUGGGGCGAUUGGGCCCGACGUCGCAUGCUCCCGGCCGCCAUGGCGGCCGCGGGAAUUCGAUUUCCGGUUGAUCCUGCCAGAGGCCGCUGCUAUCCGGCUGGGACUAAGCCAUGCGAGUCAAGGGGCUUGUAUCCCUUCGGGGAUGCAAGCACCGGCGGACGGCUCAGUAACACGUGGACAACCUGCCCUCGGGUGGGGGAUAACCCCGGGAAACUGGGGCUAAUCCCCCAUAGGUGAUGGGUGCUGGAAUGCCCCAUCACCGAAAGCGCUCAGCGCCCGAGGAUGGGUCUGCGGCGGAUUAGGUAGUUGGCGGGGUAACGGCCCGCCAAGCCGAAGAUCCGUACGGGCCAUGAGAGUGGGAGCCCGGAGAUGGACCCUGAGACACGGGUCCAGGCCCUACGGGGCGCAGCAGGCGCGAAACCUCCGCAAUGCGGGAAACCGCGACGGGGCUAGCCGGAGUGCCGAUGCCUCGCAUCGGCUGUCGGGGAGCCUAAAAAGCUCCCCACAGCAAGGGCCGGGCAAGGCCGGUGGCAGCCGCCGCGGUAAUACCGGCGGCCCGAGUGGCGGCCACUAUUAUUGGGCCUAAAGCGUCCGUAGCCGGUCUGGCAAGUCCCCCGGGAAAUCUGGCGGCUUAACCGUCAGGCUGCCGGGGGAUACUGCCCGACUAGGGACCGGGAGAGGCCGGGGGGUAUUCCCGGGGUAGGGGUGGAAAUCCUGGAAUCCCGGGAGGAACCACCUGGGGGAAGGCCCCCGGUUGGAACGGGCCCAACGUGAGGACAAAGCCUGGGGAACAACCGGAAUAAAACCCGGGGAGUCCAGGCUGUAACCAUGCGGGCCUAGGGGUCCGACCC
rnacentral:rRNA from 1 species